rnacentral:rRNA from 1 species
UGGGGAAUUUUGCACAAUGGGGGAAACCCUGAUGCAGCGACGCCGCGUGAUUUAGAAGGCCUUCGGGUUGUAAAAAUCUUUUGUAUAGGAAGAAAAUGACAGUACUAUACGAAUAAGGACCGGCUAAUUACGUGCCAGCAGCCGCGGUAAUACGUAUGGAGCGAGCGUUGUCCGGAAUUAUUGGGCGUAAAGGGUACGCAGGCGGUUUAAUAAGUCGAAUGUUAAAGAUCGGGGCUCAACCCCGUAAAGCAUUGGAAACUGAUAAACUUGAGUAGUGGAGAGGAAAGUGGAAUUCCUAGUGUAGUGGUGAAAUACGUAGAUAUUAGGAGGAAUACCAGUAGCGAAGGCGACUUUCUGGACACAAACUGACGCUGAGGUACGAAAGCGUGGGGAGCAAACAGG